rnacentral:rRNA from 1 species
GCUAGACGAGUUUGAUCCUGGCUCAGAACGAACGCUGGCGGCAGGCCUAACACAUGCAAGUCGAACGCGUCCUUCGGGACGAGUGGCAGACGGGUGAGUAACNCGUGGGAACGUACCCUUUGGUUCGGAACAACUCCGGGAAACUGGAGCUAAUACCGGAUAAGCCCUUCGGGGGAAAGAUUUAUCGCCAGAGGAUCGGCCCGCGUUAGAUUAGCUUGUUGGUGAGGUAAUGGCUCACCAAGGCUACGAUCUAUAGCUGGUCUGAGAGGAUGAUCAGCCACACUGGGACUGAGACACGGCCCAGACUCUUACGGGAGGCAGCAGUGGGGAAUCUUGGACAAUGGGCGAAAGCCUGAUCCAGCCAUGCCGCGUGAGUGAUGAAGGCCCUAGGGUUAGUAAAAUUCUUCGACGGGGAAGAUAAUGACGGUACCCGUAGAAGAAGCUCCGGCUAACUUCGUG